UGUGAAAGCCUUCGGCUUAACCGGAGAAGUGCAUCGGAAACCAGGAGACUUGAGUGCAGAAGAGGACAGUGGAACUCCAUGUGUAGCGGUGAAAUGCGUAGAUAUAUGGAAGAACACCAGUGGCGAAGGCGGCUGUCUGGUCUGUAACUGACGCUGAGGCUCGAAAGCAUGGGUAGCGAACAGGAUUAGAUACCCUGGUAGUCUAUGCCGUAAACGAUGAGUGCUAAGUGUUGGAGGGUUUCCGCCCUUCAGUGCUGCAGCUAACGCAUUAAGCAUUCCGCCUGGGGAGUACGACCGCAAGGUUGAAACUCAAAGGAAUUGACGGGGGCCCGCACAAGCGGUGGAGCAUGUGGUUUAAUUCGAAGCAACGCGAAGAACCUUACCAGGUCUUGACAUCUUUUGAUCACCUGAGAGAUCAGGUUUCCCCUUCGGGGGCAAAAUGACAGGUGGUGCAUGGUUGUCGUCAGCUCGUGUCGUGAGAUGUUGGGUUAAGUCCCGCAACGAGCGCAACCCUUAUGACUAGUUGCCAGCAUUUAGUUGGGUACUCUAGUAAGACUGCCGGUGACAAACCGGAGGAAGGUGGGGAUGACGUCAAAUCAUCAUGCCCCUUAUGACCUGGGCUACACACGUGCUACAAUGGAUGGUACAACGAGUUGCGAGACCGCGAGGUCAAGCUAAUCUCUUAAAGCCAUUCUCAGUUCGGACUGUAGGCUGCAACUCGCCUACACGAAGUCGGAAUCGCUAGUAAUCGCGGAUCAGCACGCCGCGGUGAAUACGUUCCCGGGCCUUGUACACACCGCCCGUCACACCAUGAGAGUUUGUAACACCCGAAGCCGGUGGCGUAACCCUUUUAGGGAGCGAGCCGUCUAAGGUGGGACAAAUGAUUAGGGUGAAGUCGUAACAAGGUAACCGU
rnacentral:rRNA from 1 species